CCUACGGGUGGCAGCAGUGGGGAAUAUUGCACAAUGGGCGCAAGCCUGAUGCAGCCAUGCCGCGUGUGUGAAGAAGGCCUUCGGGUUGUAAAGCACUUUCAGCGGGGAGGAAGGCGGUGAGGUUAAUAACCUCAUCGAUUGACGUUACCCGCAGAAGAAGCACCGGCUAACUCCGUGCCAGCAGCCGCGGUAAUACGGAGGGUGCAAGCGUUAAUCGGAAUUACUGGGCGUAAAGCGCACGCAGGCGGUCUGUCAAGUCGGAUGUGAAAUCCCCGGGCUCAACCUGGGAACUGCAUUCGAAACUGGCAGGCUAGAGUCUUGUAGAGGGGGGUAGAAUUCCAGGUGUAGCGGUGAAAUGCGUAGAGAUCUGGAGGAAUACCGGUGGCGAAGGCGGCCCCCUGGACAAAGACUGACGCUCAGGUGCGAAAGUGUGGGGAGCAAACAGGAUUAGAUACCCUAGUAGUC
rnacentral:rRNA from 1 species